AGUGAACGCUGGCGGCGUGCUUAACACAUGCAAGUCGAACGAGAACGGGAUAUAGCUUGCUAUAUUUGUCAGCUAAGUGGCGCACGGGUGAGUAAUGUAUAGAUAACCUGCCCUCUAGAAAGGAAUAACAGUUGGAAACGACUGCUAAUGCCCUAUAUGCCUUUAAUACAUAAGUAUGCAAGGGAAACGCUUUAGUGCUAGAGGAUGGGUCUGUAUGGUAUCAGCUUGUUGGUGAGGUAAUGGCUCACCAAGGCUAUGACGCCUAACUGGUCUGAGAGGACGACCAGCCACACUGGGACUGAGACACGGCCCAGACUCCUACGGGAGGCAGCAGUGGGAAUUUUGGACAAUGGGCGCAAGCCUGAUCCAGCAAUGCCGCGUGCAGGAAGAAGGCCUUCGGGUUGUAAACUGUCUUUUGUACGGAACGAAAAAGUCCGGGUUAAUACCCUGGGCCCAUGACGGUACCGUAAGAAUAAGCACCGGCUAACUACGUG
rnacentral:rRNA from 1 species